rnacentral:rRNA from 1 species
UACGUAGGGUGCAAGCGUUAAUCGGAAUUACUGGGCGUAAAGCGUGCGCAGGCGGCUUUGCAAGACAGAUGUGAAAUCCCCGGGCUUAACCUGGGAACUGCAUUUGUGACUGCAUGGCUGGAGUGCGGCAGAGGGGGAUGGAAUUCCGCGUGUAGCAGUGAAAUGCGUAGAUAUGCGGAGAAACACCGAUGGCGAAGGCAGUCCCCUGGGCCUGCACUGACGCUCAUGCACGAAAGCGUGGGGAGCAAACAGG